UACGUAGGUGGCAAGCGUUGUCCGGAUUUACUGGGCGUAAAGAGCGCGCAGGCGGUCGGAUAAGUCGAAUGUGAAAGCCCCCGGCUCAACUGGGGAGGGUCAUUCGAUACCGUUCGACUCGAAGGCAGGAGAGGGUAGUGGAAUUCCCGGUGUAGUGGUGAAAUGCGUAGAUAUCGGGAGGAACACCAGUGGCGAAGGCGACUACCUGGCCUGUUCUUGACGCUGAGGCGCGAAAGCUAGGGGAGCAAACGGG
rnacentral:rRNA from 1 species